rnacentral:snRNA from 1 species
UUGACGGCAACGUUAGGGAGUCCGG